rnacentral:rRNA from 1 species
UACGUAGGGUGCAAGCGUUAUCCGGAAUUAUUGGGCGUAAAGAGCUCGUAGGCGGUUCGUCGCGUCUGCUGUGAAAACUGGAGGCUCAACCUCCAGCCUGCAGUGGGUACGGGCAGACUAGAGUGCGGUAGGGGAGAUUGGAAUUCCUGGUGUAGCGGUGGAAUGCGCAGAUAUCAGGAGGAACACCGAUGGCGAAGGCAGAUCUCUGGGCCGUAACUGACGCUGAGGAGCGAAAGCAUGGGGAGCGAACAGG